rnacentral:rRNA from 1 species
UACGUAGGGGGGCAAGCGUUGUCCGGAAUCAUUGGGCGUAAAGCGCGUGUAGGCGGCUCGGUAAGUCCGCUCUGAAAGUCCAGGGCUCAACCCUGGGAUGCGGGUGGAUACUGCCGGGCUCGAGUCCGGAAGAGGCGAGUGGAAUUCCCGGUGUAGCGGUGAAAUGCGCAGAUAUCAGGAGGAACACCAAUGGCGAAGGCAGCUCGCUGGGACGUGACUGACGCUGAGACGCGAAAGCGUGGGGAGCAAACAGG